rnacentral:lncRNA from 1 species
CAUGACGGCGCCGGGCUCUAAUGGCCAGAACCUGUAGGGGCGACGGAAUAUUCUUUCCUUUACAGCCUGCCAUCUUCCACGUCAUCUGAAUCUCCUCUGACUAAGGCAGGGAAUGGGAGGGCUAACUAUGGAUAGUCAAGAUACAAAGUGUUGUUCGUGUCAAUAGUCUACUGACUCUUUAACCCUCUGUGUACUUCAUCGUUAUCUACUGAAAAAAAAAAAGUACUGAUGUCUUUAUCCUUGGAGAGGAGAGGUGUAAUCGAGAUGGAGAAGGUCUUUAUUUGAACAUCUGGUUUUCUGCUGCAAGCCUCCCCGUGGCUG